CCAUCUUCAGACUAACGGUCUCUGUGAGAGCUUUAACGGGACUCUGAAGCAGAUGCUGAAGACGUUCACAAACACCUUCAGAGACUGGGAGCGAUUCCUGCCGCAUCUCCUCUUUUCGUACCGGGAGGUGCCCCAGGAAUCCACAGGAUUAUUGAGCGGCGGUUUAUUGAGCAAAAUGCAUUUCUUUUAUACACAUUUUCAGGCCAGAGGCACACCCCCUGGACCUGAUGGAACACAGGGACAAAAGGAAC